UACGUAGGGUGCAAGCGUUGUCCGGAAUUAUUGGGCGUAAAGAGCUCGUAGGCGGUCUGUCGCGUCUGCUGUGAAAAUCCAGGGCUCAACCCUGGACCUGCAGUGGGUACGGGCAGACUAGAGUGCGGUAGGGGAGAUCGGAAUUCCUGGUGUAGCAGUGAAAUGCGUAGAUAUCAGGAGGAAUACGAUGGCGAAGGCAGCCUCCUGGGAUAACACUGACGCUCAGCACGAAAGCGUGGGGAGCAAACGAGGA
rnacentral:rRNA from 1 species